CGACGAAAAGAUGGGAGCUUGCUCCCUUAUUUUAGCCGGCGGACGGGUUGAGUAACACGUGGGCAACCUGCCCUGCAGACUGGGAUAACUCCGGGAAACCGGAGCUAAUACCGGGUAAUACAUCGCACCGCAUGAUGCAAUGUUGAAAAGUUGGCUUUUCGAGCUAACACUGCAGGAUGGGCCCGCGGCGCAUUAGCUAGUUGGUAAGGUAAUGGCUUACCAAGGCGACGAUGCGUAGCCGACCUGAGAGGGUGAUCGGCCACACUGGGACUGAGACACGGCCCAGACUCCUACGGGAGGCAGCAGUAGGGAAUCUUCCGCAAUGGACGAAAAGUCUGACGGAGCAACGCCGCGUGAGUACGAAGGCCUUCGGGUCGUAAAGCUCUGUUGUUAGGGAAGAACAAGUACCGUUCGAAUAGGGCCGUACCUUGACGGGUACCUAACCAGAAAGCCACGGCUAACUACGUGCCAUCAGCCGCGGUAAUACGUAGGUGGCAAGCGUUGUCCGGAAUUAUUGGGCGUAAAGCGCGCACAGGCGGUCUUUUAAGUCUGAUGUGAAAGCCCACGGCUCAACCGUGGAGGGUCAUUGGAAACUGGAGGACUUGAGUUCAGGAAGAAGAAAAUUGAAUUCCACGUGUAGCGGUUAAAUGCGUAAGAUAUGUGGAGGAACACCAGUUGCGAAGGCGGCUCUUUUGGUCUGUUACUUACGCUGAGGCGCGAAAAGUCGUGGGGGACAAACCAGAGUUUAGAUACCCCUGGUUGGUCCACGCCCGUAAACCAAUGAGUGCCAGGUGUUGGAGGGGUUCCACCCUCAGUGCUGAAGUUAACCCCUUAGGCACUCCGCCCUGGGAGUACGAACCCGCAAGGUUGAAACUUCAAAGGAAUUAACGGGGGGCCGCGACAAAGC
rnacentral:rRNA from 1 species